GUGCGACACGACAUGCGCGCUAAAUGGGAAAACAGGGCACGACAAGCAUGACGAGAUUUGGAAUGUUCUUUGGAUUUUAAAGGAGGACGGCAGUAUUUGAGAAGAUGAUGGAGCAAGGAAUGGCCGAUGUGUGGGCAGCAUCAGCAGAGAGAGUAGAACUGAUAGCUUGGAUGAGUUCAGCCACAUAGAGAAUGAUGAAGAUGACUCUGACGUUAGCCGUAGCACAGACAGUGAAAUUAGCAAGCGCAGGAGAAACUCAAGUUUCAGUGCGGACUACGGUAACAGCGACCCUGACAGUGAUGAGGAACUAGAACAGUGGAUGGAGAUAACAGCAGGUGUUGAAGGGUAAGCAGCGUAGUUGGCCCCCUGCCUGUGGACUCAUCUUCUGGCAUCACUGCCCUGAUAG
rnacentral:misc_RNA from 1 species